AGCUACAAAAGGAGAUGAGGAUGGUCAUAGUCAUUUUCUGAGCUGCGAACGGGCAGAAAGCUACACAAGGAGAUGAGGACGGUCAUUGUCUGUUACUGAGCUAUUAACGGGCGGGAAGCUACACAAGGAGAUGCACUUGUCUAUAUCCAGCUACACAAGGAGAUGAGGAUGAUCAUUGUCUGUUUCUGAGCUGCGAACGGGCAGAAAC